GACGAACGCUGGCGGCGUGCUUAACACAUGCAAGUCGAACGGAAAGGCCCUGCUUGCAGGGUACUCGAGUGGCGAACGGGUGAGUAACACGUGGGUGAUCUGCCCUGCACUUCGGGAUAAGCCUGGGAAACUGGGUCUAAUACCGGAUAGGAGCCAUUUUUAGUGUGAUGGUUGGAAAGUUUUUUCGGUGUAGGAUGAGCUCGCGGCCUAUCAGCUUGUUGGUGGGGUAAUGGCCUACCAAGGCGGCGACGGGUAGCCGGCCUGAGAGGGUGGACGGCGACAUUGGAACUGAGAUACGGCCCAGACUCCUACGGGAGGCAGCAGUGGGGAAUAUUGCACAAUGGGCGCAAGCCUGAUGCAGCGACGCCGCGUGGGGGAUGACGGCCUUCUGGUUGUAAACUCCUUUCGCUAGGGACGAAGCUUUUUGUGACGGUACCUAGAGAAGAAGCACCGGCUAACUACGUG
rnacentral:rRNA from 1 species